rnacentral:rRNA from 1 species
GACGAACGCUGGCGGCGUGCUUAACACAUGCAAGUCGAACGGAAAGGCCUGCUUUCCCUUGUGGAUUGCGGGUACUCGAGUGGCGAACGGGUGAGUAACACGUGAGUGAUCUGCCCCCAACUUGGGUAUAAGCCUGGGAAACUGGGUCUAAUUCCCGAUAGGACUGCAGGGUGGUGCCUGUGGUGGAAAACGAUUUUCUAGUGGUUGGGGAUGAGCCCGCGGCCUAUCAGCUUGUUGGUGGGGUAAUGGCCUACCAAGGCGGCGACGGGUAGCCGGCCGGAGAGGGUGGACGGCGACAUUGGGACUGGGACCCGGCCCAGACUCCUACGGGAGGUAGCAGUGGGGAAGAUUGGGCAAUGGGCGGAAGCCUGAUGCAGCGACGCCGCGGGGGGGAUGACGGCCUUCGGGUUGUAAACUCCUUUCGACCGCGAGGAAGCCACCUGGUUGGAAGGGUGGUGACGGUAGUGGGAGAAGAAGCACCGGCUAACUACGUG